AACGAACGCUGGCGGCAUGCCUAACACAUGCAAGUCGAACGAGACCUUCGGGUCUAGUGGCGCACGGGUGCGUAACGCGUGGGAACCUGCCCUUAGGUUCGGAAUAACUCCCCGAAAGGGGUGCUAAUACCGGAUAAUGUCUUCGGACCAAAGAUUUAUCGCCUUUGGAUGGGCCCGCGUUGGAUUAGCUGGUUGGUAGGGUAAAAGCCUACCAAGGCGACGAUCCAUAGCUGGUCUGAGAGGAUGAUCAGCCACACUGGGACUGAGACACGGCCCAGACUCCUACGGGAAGCAGCAGUGGGGAAUAUUGGACAAUGGGCGAAAGCCUGAUCCAGCAAUGCCGCGUGAGUGAUGAAGGCCUUAGGGUUGUAAAGCUCUUUUACCCGGGAUGAUAAUGACAGUACCGGGAGAAUAAGCUCCGGCUAACUCCGUG
rnacentral:rRNA from 1 species